GUCAGCACCAGCUUCCGCUUUGUUCAGCUGGAGUCCGAAAGGAAACUGGACUCCCUGUGUCCUCACCGCUCCUCCUCUGCCUGCUAAAUACAGGCGUGCAGAGUGAUGCAGGUUCUGCUGCUGCUGUCGCCCCACUUGUGGAACAGCGUUCUCACUCGGAACCGCUCGUGCCCGUCCUCAUCCCUCUCUCUCUCCACAUGCUCUGAGAGGAGGGAGGCAGACGGCGACGGAGAGGCAGGGAGAACAACCUCUGAUAUCAGCUGUCGGAGGAGAGGCAAAGGGACCCAAGAACACGACAACAAACCUCACCUGUCCUUCUACACUCACCUGUGUCACUGAGUGAGGGCCAA